GACGAACUGCCCAAACGUUGUUCGGAAUCACUGGGCUUAAAGGGCGCGUAGGCGGGUACACAAGUCAGGGGUGAAAUCCGGCAGCUCAACUGUCGAAGUGCCUUUGAUACUGUGUAUCUUGAGGGAGGUAGGGGUCUGUGGAACUUCUGGUGGAGCGGUGAAAUGCGUUGAUAUCAGAAGGAACGCCGGUGGCGAAAGCGACGGACUGGACCUCUUCUGACGCUGAGGCGCGAAAGCUAGGGGAGCAAACGGG
rnacentral:rRNA from 1 species